rnacentral:rRNA from 1 species
UGGAGCAUGUGGUUUAAUUCGAUGCAACGCGAAGAACCUUACCUGGCUUGACAUCCCUGGAAUCCCCUGGAAACGAGGGAGUGCCUUCGGGAGCCAGGAGACAGGUGCUGCAUGGCUGUCGUCAGCUCGUGUCGUGAGAUGUUGGGUUAAGUCCCGCAACGAGCGCAACCCUUGUCUUUAAUUGCCAUCAUUCAGUUGGGCACUUUAAAGAGACUGCCGGUGUUAAACCGGAGGAAGGUGGGGAUGACGUCAAGUCCUCAUGGCCUUUAUGCCCAGGGCUACAAACGUACUACAAUGGCCAAUACAAAGAGAUGCGAAGCGGUGACGUGAAGCGAACCUCAGAAAGUUGGUCUCAGUUCAGAUUGAAGUCUGCAACUCGACUUCAUGAAGGCGGAAUCGCUAGUAAUCGCGGGUCAGCAGACCGCGGUGAAUACGUUCCCGGGUUUU